GGUCUGCAGAGAUUCCAGGGACACUGCAAAGCGAGGCGAUCACAGUAGUUCUGUGUUUGAAGAGAUGGCAGAAAGGAUGCGACGAGACUGCUCGAACUUGGCACAUUUCUGAGUAUUUAUCCGUGAGGAGUCUCCUAUGAAGACCAUAGGUGUUCUGAGUAACUGCUUUCACAACAACUUCUGAGACCAUGGGAGCCAGUUCUCAGGAUGGAGGCAUCCAGGUCACUUCCAGCUUGAUUCCUUGACGUCUUGUGUCCACUUAAGGUUGUA